CCAGAAUUAUAUAGGCAUAAUUGGGUGUUGUUUUCAUUCGUAAUGAAAAGGUCACCAGUUCGAAUCCGGUAUCCGGCACCA
rnacentral:tRNA from 1 species